AACCUUCUGAUGUCACGUAAUUAGGGUUAGGGUUUAUCCGUCCCACUGAAUUUCGAGUUUUCCUCUUUUCUUUCUUUUUUUGACUCAUUGUCUCCCUGUUCCUCUCGAAGGUUUCUUCAUUGUUGCCCCUCUCUGAUCUCUUCACCCUCUCUUCACGGAACUUCAUCCGUUAAGUGUUUGUCAGGUUUUGCAGAUCACUACUCACGGUCAGGCAGAUUCACGGGCUUUAGCCACUCAUCAACCUUCCUGAGUUUGCAUGGAUUCCUCGUCCCUUAACUCCCCGGAGCUGAUGAAUUUUAUCAAUGAAGAGAAGCAAAGAGCUAUGGUUGCUGAGAUGGUGGCUAAGCUUACCAGUGUCUGUUGGGACAAGUGCAUCACUGGUACACCAGGGAGUAAGUUCAGCUCUAGUGAAUCCAACUGUCUAUCAAACUGUGCACAACGCUAUAUGGAUAUGAGCAUCAUCAUUAUGAAACGAUUCCAAAACAGUUAAUGGAUCCAACAUGUGAGGCGUGCUUUCUUGUUACAAGACUGUAUUUUCUUGGAUCUAUUGUUCAAUUCAAACCGAUAGGAAAAAGCCUGCUGAAUGCUUCUCUGACAUCGCAAGAGGAAGUCGCUCAACGUGGAGCACUGCCUCUUAUGUGUGGAUGAAGCUAAACGGUAGGCAUUCCAUGUAAGUGGCUAACAUGGAAUAGUUUUUCAUCUUAAUAAGAUGACAUGUCAUAGUUGCACAAUAUGAAUCAUUUUAACACCUAGACAUUGCUUCCAACCUAAAAAAGCAAUAUCCUCUACUUUCAGCCAUCUUUAUCUCUUUAAAGGCGGCUAUAGUUUAAGACCAAUAAAACUAAGGAGCUGUGAAUUUGUUUGAGCA